rnacentral:rRNA from 1 species
GACGAACGCUGGCGGCGUGCUUAACACAUGCAAGUCGAGCGGUAAGGCCCUUUCGGGGGUACGACGAGCGGCGAACGGGUGAGUAACACGUGGGUGACCUGCCCUCAGCUCUGGGAUAAGCCUGGGAAACCGGGUCUAAUACUGGACAUGACUCCAUGACGCAUGUUGUGGGGUGGAAAGCCUUGUGCGGCUGAGGAUGGGCCCGCGGCCUAUCAGCUUGUUGGUGGGGUGAGGCCUACCAAGGCGACGACGGGUAGCCGGCCUGAGAGGGCGACCGGCCACACUGGGACUGAGACACGGCCCAGACUCCUACGGGAGGCAGCAGUGGGGAAGUCUUGCGCAAUGGGCGAAAGCCUGACGCAGCGACGCCNCGUGA